rnacentral:sRNA from 1 species
GUCUGCUUGUAUGCCACUCAGAAAGUG